rnacentral:sRNA from 1 species
AAAGGAUGGUGCUAAUCCCUUUACCAGACAUGAUGUGCACUCCCGAGAAAUGAUAAACGAGCGGUGAUAUCCCAACCCCAACCGGGCUGCAUAUCAGAUCAGAGUUAGUUGACAAAAAACGUCAUAAACAUGUUGGUAAUUAUGUACAGUGAUUAUUCAGGCUUGAUUUAUAGUCUCCGUAAAAGAUAUGAAUAGCCUUAAUGUUUGUCCUUUACAAAAGGCCUGCUAUCAACUGCAGGAUUUAACUGACGUCGAAGGAAAAUUAGAACCUAAUUUAUUAAAGAAUUCUCACAAUAGCACGAAGGCAUUUUAUCCGUGUAAACCUUUUUGUCAACUGAUAUACCCCACCAUUUUUUGUUAAUCAAAUAGAAUUUACGAGUUCUCAUUUGCCGGGUCAUGAUAAAAAAGAACAUAGCAUGGCGGCCUGAAUGUUAUCUGCAGAAUCUGUCGAUGUUUCUUAUCACCAGACCCUCGGGAAAUCACACCAUUUAUCUAGCAUUGCCAUUAUUGUAUUACUAAGGACGCCUUAUUUAUCACCUUAAUACCCGAAGGCCAUUGUGAUUAUGCAGUAGGCAGGAAAACACAACUGACAAUAUUUCUAUACUUCAAAGAAGUACCCGAUUUCCACAGUAGUGCUGGAAACAAUGGGACACGUCUAAGCGACAAAGCCGACCCAAGAAUGCCGGUCAAACCCCCAUAAUACCGACAGGGGGACAGGGGUGUGCGCAUUACAAAGUUGUCAUCAGAUUCCAUCAUGAUCUUCCUUGCCCCCGCGGUGAAAAAUACCGACCCCUCGCCUGUCUUCUCUCUAUUAAAUAUGCUCAUUAUAUCGACACAAUUUCUAAAUGAUGUAAAUUUGGGACGGAGAAAAUAUGCCCAUAAAGUUCAGGUGGGGGAACAGGAGUUGAUCUCAUUUGAAUUCAUCCCAAGAAAAAAAAAGAAUAAAAAUGAUGUUGGUGUCUCUGAGAUUUGCAUAAACUUUGUGUACACACCAGAAGUCGGCGUGCUGGUGAUAUAUGACAUUACUCGACAUCUCUCUAAACCCAGGUUUGAAAAUAAAUAUUUGGAUUGAACUUUAAUAUAUUGCCCAUACAUAACUGCGGUGAAAGGGUCUACCUUAAUGUGAGGGCAGCAUAAGGUCUACUUUCACGUGCUUAUUUACAUGAAAAUGUAAUGAUUUUCUAAACUAUUAAUUUAAUUCGUUUUUAAAAAAUUGUAUAAAAAAAAGACUUCAAAUUUUAAUAUUUUCACGACUCGGAAAUGAAAUGUAAAUAUGUGAAUUGAUGAUAUUUAAUUAAGUUGGUCUGAAAAUAUAGUCCUAUCUACAUGUAUCUAUCAUUUAACAGACUUGAUAGUCCAUGCGCUUCUAUGUGUGUGUGCAAAACAAAUAUAAAUUUACAAUUUGAAAUUAUGAAUUGAUUGUCUUUAUUAAAGUUUAUAU